GGAGUUGUGCCUGAAAAAGGGUCACUUUGAUAGAGUGAAUCAUAGGGGCUAAAUACCCCUCAACUCCU
rnacentral:tRNA from 3 species